GAAGCCACCAGGUCCAGGACCCAAACUGGUCAGCCAUGUGGGAGUCCAGCAAUGUAAUAACCAUUAUGCCAUCUGCUGGUCCCUUGUACUUUAACUUCUUUCACCUAGUAUGAUCUUUCCAAGAUUCACCCAGCUACCACAUGUAGUUUAAUCAUACAUUGAUGUUUUAUUCCUGGGCUAUAUUCUCAUUUGACGAAAUACACUGUUUUUUUAUCCACACACCAAUUUUUGUCUGAACUGUUUCCAUUUCUUGGCCAUUAUAAAUAUGCUGGUGUGAAUACCUGCAUAUGUGUCUCACCUGGCUGUGUUUUCAUUUUUCCUAGGUAAAUACGGCAGUGUGGCAGUGGGAUGGCUGAGUCCUGUCAGGGGCAUGUCCCCUGCGGGGGCUGUGCCUCCUGGAGCAGGACAGGGUCCCACUCCUCUACCUCCCUGCCAGCACUUGGUGCCAGCACUGCUUUCUUAUUUUUUCCACAAGCAGAAGAGACCGCAUUGCUGAUAGGGUGUAGACAGCAGCCAGCCAGCUGUGGCUCCUGGCACGCCCUCUGGAUGCGCACCUGAACCCUGUUACAUGGGUCAGCGUCAGAGCGUCAUCUUUUCCUGCUGCACCACCCUCUGGCCCCUGGAGAAAGAAAACUUUGUGGCCGCGUCUAUGCAUGUUAUUUUUCAUUGCUCCUGCGUGGGCUCAGAGAUCUGACAUCGGUGCCUGAUGUCCUGUCAGUUUCAGGAAGUCCUCAGACACCAUGUAUGCCAGCGCUGUCACCGCUCUGCACUUCACCGCGGAAGCUUUCUACUGACCACCUUUGUCUACCUUGGUAUUAGGUCCACCUGCUCACUUGUCGUUUUGCUUCCAGGACUUGGAACGUUGUUGCCCAUCGUAGACCUGCACACUCACCGUUGUCAUUGCCACCAUCAUCAGAAAUGCUGCCCCAGGGACCAGCGGUUGGCGUAACGGCUGUGUGCUGGACUCCCAUGUAGUCGAGUCUUGGAC